rnacentral:rRNA from 1 species
CACCUGAGCCGAGCAAGACAACCCGCUGAACUUAAGCAUAUCAGUAAGCGGAGGAAAAGAAACUAACAAGGAUUGCCCCAGUAGCGGCGAGUGAACAGGCAAGAGCUCAAAGUGGAAAUCCGAGGCACCAAGCCAAGGAAUUGUAAUCUAGAGGACUGUUGCGAAGGGAAGGCCGUCGUAUGAGUCCCUUGGAAUAGGGCGCCGAAGAGGGUGAUAGCCCCAUACACGACGACGGCCGACCGUAGGAACGGUUUCAAAGAGUCGGGUUGUUUGGGAUUGCAGCCUAAAACGGGAGAUAAACUUCUUCUAAAGCUAAAUAUUGAUGGGAAACCGAUAGCGAACAAGUACUACGAAGGAAAGAUGAAAAGAACUUUGAAAAGAGGGUUAAAAGACUUGAAAUCGUUGAGUAGGAAGCGGUUGGAGGGCAGUCACUUGCAGGCGAUAUUGGCGAGAGUCGGCCGGCAGCUGAGGGGGACGGAUCGCAAGGCCCACCUCUUACGCUGUAACGGACGACUGCGUCUUUUUCGCAGGCAAAAGACAGAUUGGACUCUGCGAGCAGGAAUAAACGGCUAGGGUCGACCCCGGUUUACUGGGAGCCUGGCUGCGAAACUGCGCGCGGGGUUGAGGGAAAUCCUGCGGGAGAAUCUGUCGUCGACGUCUCCAACUGGCCCGUC